rnacentral:rRNA from 1 species
UUCCGUAGGUGAACCUGCGGAGGGAUCAUUGCUGGAACGCGCCCCAGGCGCACCCAGAAACCCUUUGUGAACUUAUACCUUUUGUUGCCUCGGCGCAUGCUGGUCUCUAGUAGGCCCCUCACCCCGGUGAGGAGACGGCACGCCGGCGGCCAAGUUAACUCUUGUUUUUACACUGAAACUCUGAGAAAAAACACAAAUGAAUCAAAACUUUCAACAACGGAUCUCUUGGUUCUGGCAUCGAUGAAGAACGCAGCGAAAUGCGAUAAGUAAUGUGAAUUGCAGAAUUCAGUGAAUCAUCGAAUCUUUGAACGCACAUUGCGCCCUCUGGUAUUCCGGAGGGCAUGCCUGUUCGAGCGUCAUUUCAACCCUCAAGCAUUGCUUGGUGUUGGGGCACUGCUUUUAACGAAGCAGGCCCUGAAAUCUAGUGGCGAGCUCGCCAGGACCCCGAGCGCAGUAGUUAAACCCUCGCUCUGGAAGGCCCUGGCGGUGCCCUGCCGUUAAACCCCCAACUUCUGAAAAUUUGACCUCGGAUCAGGUAGGAAUACCCGCUGAACUUAAGCA